rnacentral:rRNA from 1 species
CGAACGCUGGCGGCGUGCCUAACACAUGCAAGUCGAACGGAAUAAUUUAGUGGAAGUUUUCGGAUGGAAGCUAGAAUAUUUAGUGGCGGACGGGUGAGUAAUGCCUAGGAAUCUGCCUGGUAGUGGGGGAUAACGUUCGGAAACGGACGCUAAUACCGCAUACGUCCUACGGGAGAAAGCAGGGGACCUUCGGGCCUUGCGCUAUCAGAUGAGCCUAGGUCGGAUUAGCUAGUUGGUGAGGUAAUGGCUCACCAAGGCGACGAUCCGUAACUGGUCUGAGAGGAUGAUCAGUCACACUGGAACUGAGACACGGUCCAGACUCCUACGGGAGGCAGCAGUGGGGAAUAUUGGACAAUGGGCGAAAGCCUGAUCCAGCCAUGCCGCGUGUGUGAAGAAGGUCUU